UCUUACCUUCUGUGUCUCUGUCCCUAUUUGUCUUUCACCUUUUGUCUUUCUGCCUCCUUCUUUUAGUCUGCAAAAUGUUCUUUAGUUCUUCAUUAACAGUAGAUGAUAAUCAUCUGACAUUGGUAGUGAGCCAACCAUGCAAGAUUAGACCUUUGGUCACACUUGUUCACAGCUGAUGGUAUUGCACUUUAAGCCAAAGUCACAGGCUUAAACCUGAGGCUGGUCCAUUCCUUUCCAGAAGCAUGAACCAAAUACCUUUCCCAGCUGCUGUCUCACAGAAGUCACUUAUUCCUGAUGCCCAGGGAACAUCAGCUGUGAGUAAACUCUGAGAGCCAAAGGAGAUGGCAAAGAGCAAGAGGCUGAUGACUCUGGCAGGAGCCGCCCUCUUGGAAACCCUGAGCGGAGGCAGAAGAGAGUUCAGUCUAGUUUAACCCAGAAGAUUCAGGGUCGGAGAUUCCUCCUUGGAUGACAAGGGACGAAAAAGGUCUAGUGGCCAACUUGAGUCAGAAUGAGGCAGAGCUGGCCAGUCUAGGGCAGGAGGAACCAGAAACCGGAAGGAGUCCCACUUUAUGGAUGAGUCAACUGAGUUCUCAAGGACACAAACCAGGGAGCAGCAGAUCCAGGAUUUGCAGCUAGAGAGCCGCUGGGAAGUUCUCCUGCUUUCUCUAUGUAGAGGAAUCUGGAGGGGAUUCCAGAGAAGCAGGUGACAAAAAGCCGAUGACCAAGAAUAUCAGUACAGUGGAAAGAAGACAUUUCUACCUUAAAAUUUUUCCUUUGUUGAAGUGAAAUUUACAUAACAAAUAUUAACCAUUUUGAAGUGUGCAGUUGCAGUGGUACAUUGUUCAUUCAUAGUGUUGGGUGACUGCCAGGUGUAUCUAGUUCCAAAGGAAACCCGGGACCCAGUGACUCCAUUUUCCUCUCUCUCCCUCCACCACCCUGAAUCCAUCAAUUUGCAUUUGGUUUCAGUAGAUUUCCCUAUUUUGAAUAUUUCCUGUAGAAGCAAUCAUGUGGCAUGGAGCCAUUUGUGUCUGGCUUUUUUUUCACAUAGUGUAAUGUUUCCUGAGUUCUUCCAUAUUGUAUCUUGUACCAGAAUUUCAUUCUUUUAAUGACUGGGUAACAUUUCAUCUAGAUGCAUAUCACAUUUUGUUUAUCCACCCUUUCAUAGAUAUUUGACUUGUUCCCAAUUUUUGGUCAUUGCGAAAAACACUGCUGCUAUAAACAUUCAUGUAGAAAUAUUUGUUUAAGAACCUAUAUUCCAUUUUUUGGGGUAUAUGUAUAGGAAUGGAAUGUCUAGGCCAUAUGGUAAUUUUGUGUAAUAUUUUGAUAAACUUCGUGUUUCCAAAUUGGCUGCACCAUUUUAUAUUCUCAUCAGCCUAGUACAAGAGUUCUAGUUAUUCUGUGUCCUCCUGAACACUUGUUUGUUUUGCACUAAAGCCAUCCUUGUGGAUGUAAAGUGGUA